UUAUUUAACUAUUUAGUAAUAUAUUUACUAUAAUUCACAGUUUUGUUUCUAAUAUUAUCUAUUGCAUUGUACUGCUGCCGCAAAGACAACAAAUUUCACGACACAGGCGGGUGAUAUUAAACCAGAUUCUGAUUCUCUAGCUUAUUGUCAAAUGCACACGUUCGGUGAGGUAGGGGUGGAAUUAAAAACUUGCUCUAUCCUACUCCAGCUGCUAUACUUCACACAACGGGCCUUAUGGUAUGUACCUGUGAUGGUACUGCAAGUAAGUUUUGCAUUGCCCCCGUGGAUAGUUGCACUUCUGCGCACAUGACAAUAAAUUCGACUUCGACUUUGCAACACACAAACUACCGGAGAAACUCCGCAGGUCAGGCAGCAACUCUCGAGGCUUCACACAGGAAGAAUCAAGACCCUAACACGGACUAAAGAGCAGAUUUUGAGAGAUGAGGUGGGAAUUCCUUCCCUUGACAGCAAGACGCUGCCUCACCUGCUGAGUCCCUCCAGCAUUUUAUGAAUGUUGCUCUGGAUUUCCAGCGCCUGCAGAAUCUCUUGUGGUUUUAAGAAGAGUUUGAAUAACAUGUACCGGAGGAUACAACCUAUAAAGAAUGUUAAUUCAGAUUAACUGAAUUGGUAAUUUGGUUUAUUAUUGUCAUAUCUACCGAGGUAAAGUGAAAACUUGAAACAAGUAGUGCAAAAAUAGAAAUAAAAAAGUAAUGAGGUAGUGUUCGUAGGUUCAAUGACCAUUCAGACAUCGGAGUCAGAGGGAAAGACGCUGUUCCUGAAUCCUUGAGUGUGUGCCUUCAGGCUUCUGUACCUGAUGGUAGCAAUGAGAAUGAGGACUGACCUGGGUGAUGGGAGUCCUUUAUGACAGUUGUUGCCUUUUUUGUAGUAUUGCUCUUUAAAGAUGUCCUGGAUGCUGGGGAGGCUCGUGCCCAUGAUGGAGCUGGCUGAGUUCACAACUCUCUGCAACUUACUUUGAUCCUGUGGAGUAGCCACCUUCUCCCCCCCCCCCCCAUACCACAGGGUGAUGCAGCCAGUUAGAAUGUUCUCCGUGGUACAGCUGUACCAAUUUUGCGAGCGACAUACCAAAUCUCCUCAAACUCCCAAUGAAAUAUAACCCCUGUCAUACCUUCUUUGUAGCUGCAUUGAUAUGCUUGGUCCAGGAAAGAUCCUCAGAGAUAUUGACACCCAGGAACUUGAAAAUGCUCACUCUUUCCACUUCUGAUCCCUCUCUGAGGACUGGUGUGUGUCCCUUCAUCUUACCCUUUCUAAAGUCCACAAUCAGUUCUUUCGUCUUCCUGACAUUGAGUGCAAGGUGGUUGCUGCGACACCACUCCACUAGAUAGAUCUUGCUCCUGCAUUAAACUGAUGAAUUUCUUUUGCAUCUUCCACUAUUUUCUGGAAUGGGGUUGUGGAGUUUUAUUUCCUGAUGAAUCUCUGAAGCUCCUGUUCAAGAAGGCAGAUAGCAUCCACUGUGACAACUGUGAAGUACGCUGUAAAUACAGUAUGAGAGAAAAAUAAAUAACUUCCAUUCCCAUCUAAACUACUCGUAGUACAUAAGUGAAGAACUAAGUCAUCAGUGAUUUGGAGUAGCAGAGGACAACAAACAGAUUUGUCAAUAUUUGGUAUACUUUAACCAUUUUCUCAUUGGUUGACAGGUUUAGUAAUGUAAUCCUUGAUUCUUUAUUUCACUCCAUAGAUGCUGCUUGACUUGCUGUGUUCAUCCAGCAUGUGUAUGUAUUAAUUCCUGUGAUUCAUGAAUAAGACCCACCCCUUUGAUCGCCUUACUGCAACUUGUCCCCUUCAUAUUAUCAUUAUUAUUAUGAUUCAUACUCCUCUGCUUGUGUCCUUUGUUCUUCUUAAACCCCUUCAAAUAUCAUCCUUUGUAUAUUCAUCUCCCAUAUAUCAACGCCCAUUGUUCUUUGUUAUCUGCCAAUGUCAUUACUUCCUAAACUAAAUCCUUUGACAGAUUUCAAAGCUGCUGCUUCUCACUUUCCCUCCUGCUGCAGCCUAGGUUUUCAAGCAAGCUCACAUUCAGCAUCACCUGAAACAAUUUCUAGGUGAGUUUGUCUUCAGCUGUACAAAAUAUUGUAUGUUCCAGUUUUCAAUCAGAAAGAAAGAAAUGCAGAUUCUAUACAUAAGAAUAGGGAAUGCUAGAAAUACUGAGCAGAUUAGACAGAAUUUGUGCUCUUGGACACAAACCUUUAGGUCUCUUAUUUCAAUUUUUAAAUUGCAAUUUGAUACUGAAAAUACUUGGCAGAUUAUUUUCAAAAGAUGUGUGAAUUAAACAAUUCUGAAACUCUGACCCUUUGCUUCAGUGAAACCUUUUAGAAAUUGCAAUAAUUUGUGCAAAUGUUUAGACUUUUAUGAUUAUUUUUGUAAAUAGUUUGUGGAAAAAGGCUUAAGAUCUGACAUAAUCUGUGUUACCAUGGGAGAUCCAAGGGAUCAAUAUCUUAUUUUUAAAAACUUGCUGAUGUCUGUUUCCUGUCCGUGAAAACAUUUUCCUGUGUCACCAUCUUUGCUUAUGCUAAUGGAUGCCAAUAUAAAGAUAUAACAUGAAUUUCUGAUGUGAGCAAUUGCCCAUAAUAUUUUGAUGAACGAAUCAAUUAAAUGCUUUAUUAAAUGUAAUUCUUUUGUUAAAGUUUUAAAUGCAAUGUUUACAUAUUUAUCAAUAAUAUGAAUCUAUCUACCCUUUUCAUUGUUUCUGUCGUAUAAUCAUUUAAUUAAACUUCUAGCACCAGUUCAUUCACUUUCCCUCAAAACCUGAAAUGCUAUUGAAUAUUUUUCCUCCUAGCAAUUGAGAAGCAAUUUCCAUUCCCUCUUUUGGAUCAUUAUAUUGUGUGAUAUGUGAAAUUGCCAAAAACAAUCAAAGUGUUGCUAAUGAAGCAUCUUUGAGGAUGGUAAGAGAUUGA